rnacentral:rRNA from 1 species
UGGGGAAUAUUGGGCAAUGGAGGCAACUCUGACCCAGCAACGCCGCGUGAGGGAAGAAGGUUUUCGGAUUGUAAACCUCUGUCCUUGGGGACGAAGAAAGUGACGGUACCCAAGGAGGAAGCCCCGGCUAACUACGUGCCAGCAGCCGCGGUAAUACGUAGGGGGCAAGCGUUGUCCGGAAUUACUGGGCGUAAAGGGUGCGUAGGCGGUUAUUUAAGUCAGAUGUGAAAUCCCCGGGCUUAACUCGGGUGGUGCAUUUGAAACUGGGUAACUAGAGUGCAGGAGAGGGAAGCGGAAUUCCUAGUGUAGCGGUGAAAUGCGUAGAUAUUAGGAGGAACACCAGUGGCGAAGGCGGCUUUCUGGACUGUAACUGACGCUGAGGCACGAAAGCGUGGGGAGCAAACA